AUGUCUCCGGGGUUCGUCCCUGAAAGAUUCACUGGAGCAAUGCAGCUCAGGCCACUUUCAGGGAGACCGCAGAGUCACCAAAGGCACCCACCUGCCUCUAAGCCGGAAGAGCCCGCGUCCACGAUGCUCUGUGAAGCUCCGUUGCCCGAAGACAUGGGUCGUCCAGGAGCCUGUGAUCGUCCCUGCGGGGCACACCCACGUGCUCACGGGGCUCCAGUUCACAGAAAGGCCCCACACCCUCCUGGUCCCUUUAUUUUUAAUUUUUAUUUUAUGAGCACAUCUUUGCAGUACUUUGUGACCGCUUCAUCCAUUGCGGCGAGUCGGUACAAAUACAUAGCACAUCUCCAUUCUUUCUUCCUCCCUUCCCCGCCCCUCCACCCCUUGGUCCCAUCUCUUUUGCAGGGGAUCUAUCUUCCCAUUUUCUAUCUUCAAUCUUUUAUUUUGUUUUUAAAAAUGAUUUAUACUUUGAGUUUCUCAUAAGAGAGAAGUUGUUCACUAUUUAAGCCUGUGUGUCUGGUUUAUUUAUUCCAGCUGACUUUAUGGUCUCGAAGUGCACUCUUUUCCUACCAAUGACUUGAAAUCCUUCUUCAUGGCAAAGUCAUACUCCUUGGUAUAGAAAAAACAAAUUUUCUUUUUCCAUUCAUCUGUUUCUGGGCAUAUAGGCUGUUUCCAAGAUUUUGCUACUAUGGGCUGUGCUGCUAUGGGUAAGUACCAACCACGGUAAUGCGUCUUCUGACUCUUUCUGGAAGCCACCUAGACAGGGAGUAGCUGAGUUGGAUGGAAUUUCCACUCAGGAGGGAGCGUCGGAGGGUGGCUGCUGCCCCAGGCCAGGAGAAGCCUGCUGGCCACAGACCUGGAGUGCUGGACACCCUGAGCCCCCUGUGCCCACACUGUUCUCUGGGUACCACAGCUCCCUCCCCUGAGGCACUCUGGGCUGUGCUGCUGGGUCUGGGUCUGCUGUGUGGGUCACCUGGGGUGCUCACCUUCCAGCAGAGCUGAAGUCUGCACCUCAUCUGGAGGGGCCAGGGUGGCCCCAAAUCUUCACGCUGGAAACACAGCAUUUAUCUUCCACUGCCAGUGUCCCCCAGUAAAGUCUCCCCAAGACUACUGAGGUUCCAUUCAUAUCCAGGGCUGUACGCUCAGUGCCAUCUAGC
rnacentral:lncRNA from 1 species